rnacentral:rRNA from 1 species
AGCAGCCGCGGUAAUUCCAGCUCCAAUAGCGUAUAUUAAAGUUGUUGCAGUUAAAAAGCUCGUAGUUGAAUUUCGGGUUAGUAGAUUGGUCAUGCCUCUGGUAUGCACUGGUCUUACUGAUUCCUCCUUCCUGAUGAACCGUAAUGCCAUUAAUUUGGUGUUGCGGGGAAACUGGACUGUUACUUUAGAAAAAUUAGAGUGUUUAAAGCAAGCUAACGCUUGAA